GCGGCGGACGGGUGAGUAACACGUGGGCAACCUGCCCUGCAGACUGGGAUAACUUCGGGAAACCGGAGCUAAUACCGGAUAACACCGAAAACCGCAUGGUUUUCGGUUGAAAGGCGGCUUUUAGCUGUCACUGCAGGAUGGGCCCGCGGCGCAUUAGCUAGUUGGUGAGGUAACGGCUCACCAAGGCGACGAUGCGUAGCCGACCUGAGAGGGUGACCGGCCACACUGGGACUGAGACACGGCCCAAACUCCUACGGGAGGCAGCAGUAGGGAAUCUUCCGCAAUGGACGAAAGUCUGACGGAGCAACGCCGCGUGAGCGAAGAAGGUCUUCGGAUCGUAAAGCUCUGUUGUCAGGGAAGAACAAGUGCCGUUCGAACAGGGCGGUACCUUGACGGUACCUGACGAGGAAGCCACGGCUAACUACGUGCCAGCAGCCGCGGUAAUAC
rnacentral:rRNA from 1 species